GCAAACUUAACUAGACUAUUACAAACUCUAACAAUAAUUAGAAGACUAAAUACUACUAUACAGGACUAGAAAGUAAAACAUGAACGGUUGACUCAAAAACAUAAAAUGGCUCCUCCAGCAGCUCUUGAAUGCAGUGAUCCUAGGGUAUCUGUCAUGCUCAAACUCUGAUAAGUAAAUUCACACCUGUAUGAGAAAACUUAAACCAACACUAUGUGAGACAAUAACAUUCCCUACUAGAUACAUGCAAGACAUGGUUGCGAUUCUUUUUUCUAAUAUUAACCUAUUUGGCUAAAAGUGCAAGAUUUGGUUAAGACCCGGCGAAGUCAAGAACCUAAGAUUUACUAGGAAGAUCGAACCCUAUGUCGGUUACCUACGUAUCACGCCCCGAAAGAUGAAAAAAAAUGUAUGCGUAGUUUGGACAAACUAAAUACGGGCGAGAAUUAAGAAAACCAACUAAUUGAGAGAAAAUAUAUUUUGUCUUUUGUUUUGAAAAAUGAUGAAACAUGUAAACUCUUUUUAGAUUUUCUUUUAUGGGAAAGUUCAAAAUCCUUUUGGAUUUUUCCAUUUUAAUCUUUGGUGUUUUCAAAAAAAAUGUGAAAGAAAAACAUAACGAGGCCACACUUGCUUUAUUUUUUAUACUUCACCCUCUUUUUUUAAUUUAUCCUCAACUAUCAUCGGUCCAUCAAAUGACCCCUUUUACCCUUGAAGAUUGAAAAAUGUAGCACAUAGCAUGCAGAACGAUGGUGUUUUACUAUUAGUGUACACCUGUCCUAAACGGACUCAACCCCUGUGUUAAGUCCCCAAAGUCAAAUUCAUAUGGUGCAAACAAGCAUUCCUACUAUGGAUUCGGUAUGAGACUGAGUUAUUCUUUGUUUAAAACCUGAGUAUGUUGUUCUAUACUUGUGCACCCGCGCGGACAACUCAAGCCGGAGGGGGGGGGGAGCUACGUCCCCCACGAUGAGAAGAGAAGGGUUUCGUCGCAGUUUAUAUACAUUUCAAAUAAUACCAAAGUGGUAAAAAGCAACUUUUAGCACAUUAAGCCCAAAUAUGUAAAUAAAACUUGAUAAUUAAUAAAUAUAAAUAUAAGAAUUAUUUUAAGCUUGAAUUCUUGAACCCCGAAUCAGAUAUUACGGGUUUGUGUUCCCCAGCAGAGUCGACAGAACUGUAACACAUCCAUUUUUACUACACCCGGAAUGGGUAUAAGGGAACUUUUUCCAACUUAAAGUUACUAUCAAAACGGGAUUAUUUAUUUAUUAAUUUCAGAGUUGCCACUUGAAAUAAUUUUAUGGUAUCCCAAGACACCGGUUCCAAUCCCAAAUCAAGGAAAAGAUUGACUCAAUUUUAUAGUCUCCGAAAACAGAAAUUCGGGUAAGGAAUUAUGUUAACCCAUGGAAGGUUUUAUUUAUUCCAGGAUUCCGUAGUUCUAACACGGUCGCUCAACUAUUGUAAUUGGCCUAUUAUCUGAUUUUAAUACAUUUGUUAACCUAUGGUACCAUUUUAACUUUAUCACCGCUUUUACUUAAUUAUUUUAGGGAGGAUUUCAACGUUAUUCUAAACACGUCUUGAACCACGUCACAUAAAUGCACCCACAGUACCCGUCAUAUUUUAUCUAACAUUGUUGAGAUAUGGAUUGAGGUCACAUAAAUAUACACCCAAGUUUAGGAAGGUAACUUUUGAAAUAGCGCCUAAAGCAACUACGCACUUUCAAAUUCAUAAGGGCCAUGGAAAUUCAAUUAAAGGGCAUGCCUCCAUUUAUAGGGAUUAAAAUUAAUUACUCGAAGGCCUUGGGUUAUCUAAUUUUAUCUAUGGCUCACCUCAAGUCUAAUUUAAAGGCAGUUCCUAAUUAGAAAGGUUCAAGAUGUGGAGCCAUUCCAAACUAAUAUUCAGAUUAGCCUUACUAGCUACAAGCUUGUGUUACUUACAUUAAAUAUCUAAUAUGUACGAGGCGAACCAAUAAAGGCUUGUUGGGCCUCAGGGCCCAAAUAGGCGAUAACAAAAAAUAAACGCCUCAGCCAAAAACUUGGUGUGAUGAUACGACUCGUCAUCUCAUGUGUAACCAUUCUAUUUUUCCUAUUUUAAGCUUCUUCAUGUUUCAUUAUCUGUGUUUUGUGAGUUUGAGUUAAUUCGGAUUAAGUUUUGUAGGGAUUGAGACACUUAGUCUCUUUAAGGAAGCUUUGGUUUGGAAAAGUCAACCGGAUGUUGACUUGUUUGUUAGAGGGUUAAGAUGUGAUUUCCGGUGAUUUGGUUAGCUUUGGGGAGAGAUUUGUGACUAAGGAGAGUGAUCGGAAAUGAAUUUGGAGGCUUGGGGUAGAAUUAGACUUGGAUGGGCGAAGUUAGCAUUUUGGCGAUAUCCGCUUGAUAAGUGAGAUUUUGAUCCAAAGUUGCAAUAGUUCUGCUAGAUUAUUUUGGAUAUGUGUGCAAAAUUUAAGGUCGUUCGGAGGUAUUUUGGUCGGGUUUUUUAUCAAAUGCGUAUUUCAUAAGUUUAGAAUAAAUUUUGGCUUGAAUCCAUCACGAAAUGAUAAUUUUAGUGUUUUGGAGUUUCUUUGAUGAUUUGAGUGAGUUUGGAUGAUGUAAAAUGGGUUUGCACUUUUGGUUGAGGUCUCGGGGACCUCGGGGUGAUUUCGGAUGGCUAAUGGGAUGAAAUUUGGAGUUUAAGAACUGCUGCCACACCUAGUAUCUGGUAUUUUUGCUUCUGCGGAAAAGGACCGCAGAAGCGGUUUUGCAGAAGCGACAGCCAAGUUGCUGUAGCAAAAGGUGAGGUCUCGGGACGUUGCGCAGUAGCGGACUUGUUGACACAAAAGCGGUAUCGCAUAUGCAAGUAGCGGACCGCAGAAACGGUUCUGGGCAAGAAUUUGGAAACCAAAGAAGCAGAAGGGAAUCAGAAAAGCGGUGUUGUAGAAGCAACGAUUUUAUCGUAGAAGUGGAAAGGUUUGUUUAGAGGUAUUAAAAUUUAUCUUUGCGAAUUUUGGAAAGAACUCAAUAUUUCCACUUCGGACUUGGAGGCUUUGGUGCGAUUUUGGAGAGGGAGUCAAGGUAUUUCAUUGGAAUAAGAAAUUAUGAGCCUAAAACAUAAAUCUAAUGUGUUAUUACAUGAAUUAAGGGUGACAUACCAUGCAAUAACACAUUAAAUAUUUCACCCUUAAUCUAGUGAUUUGAGGGGUCAAAUGGACUCCAAUUUGCCGAAUUUGAUAUAUAUAAACUCGUGGCGAAAUAAGGAUCGUUUUGAUGUAAAGUUUUCUGAAUUUCAAGAAGUAGGCCCGGGGCUCGAGUUUUGCCAACUUCGUGAUUUUCGAUAGUUUUUGAGUUUUUCUGAUUGGGUUGUAUUCCCUUAGCCUGUUGUAACGUAUUCCUUGUGGUUUUGAUUAUAUUCGGCACUCGGGGAGGUUGAUUUGCGAGGCAAGGGAGUAGCGAGCUAGGAUUUUGACCACUUGAGUAGAGUAAUGGUUAUGAAUGAUGUCCUGAUGGUUUGAAACCCUGGAUUGGUACAACGUACUGCUAUGUUGGGAUGAGACACACGUGACAUUAUGAGCGUGGGGUCUGAUAUUGUAGGGGAUUCGGAAUUGGUCCAACCUGUGUGAUGAAUCUACAGCAUUUUGACUGAGACUUAAUUGAUAUCAUUACAUUCUCUACUAGAUGCCAUGUUUGGGCCUUGUGCCGAUCUGUAGAACUCUUAGGGGAAUUUGUAUCGGUUGACCCUACUUUACUUAUUUAAAUCUUACCCUCAGUUAAGCAUUUAGCUGAUAAACAUAAAAUUGAUCUGGCUUUAGAAAUUGGUAAAUCCUAAUUUUAAUAAUAGGUGGAUUGGAAACCCCGUAUUAUCUUAGCUUGCCCGUGAGGCCAAAACUAUAUUGACUGAGAGGAGUCAAAUCCCCAUUUGUAAGGGCAUGAUAUGCUAUGGGUCGGGCUACAUGCCACAGCAGUGUGUGUGUGUGUGUAUGUCUAUAUAUAUAUAUAUAUAUAUAUAUAGAUCGGGCUGCAUGUUGUAGUAGUAUAGAUGAGAAUUUGGUUAUCGUAAAACGUUAAUGAGAUGAAUACUGUCAUAAAAAGGGGUUUUAGCUUGACUUUCCUCAUUUAGAUGUUUCUCAAAGUGCUUUUACUGUUGUACUAUAGAAAUGCGUAGUCUUUUUUAUGAGUUUUCUUUUCUUCAUCCAUUAUUUAUUGCUAUUACUCACUGGGUCGGAGUACUCACUUUACUCACAGCACCAUGUGUGCAGCUGCACGUAUCCUGGAAUCUUAGUUGAGUCUCUGCUGCUAUCCAGAUUAUGACUGUAGUCAUCGAGGUAGCUGCACGGCAUCCGCAUGAUCCGAUUUCUCCCUUUAUCCUCUCUACUUUUACAAAUUUUAGACAAACUCUAUGUGUAGAUUGCAACUCAGACUUGUAUCAGAGGCUCGUGACUCGUGGCACCAGAUCAGUGGAAUUUGUAUUGCUAUUGUAUGAUUUUCCGCACGGUUUCAUCUACUAUUUCAGGAAUUUAAUCUUGUUAAUUUGGCUUUAAUUCAUGUUAAUUGGAAAGAAUUGCUUCAUAAGGGGUCGAGAGUGAUAAAUUGGUCAGGUUUUCCUAACACUGUGUUGGGCGCCAUCACGACCUGGGAUUUGGGGUCGUGACAAGUUGCUAUCAGAGCCUCGGUUACUAUGUCUCGCGAGUCUUGAGCCGGUUAAGUAGAGACUCGCGGAUCGGUACAGAGACGUUUGUAUUUACCCUUCAGAGGCUACAGAACCUUCAAGAAAAACCUCAUAUUCUUGAAAUUCUUGUCAUGCACCUUGUUGAUCCGAAAACUAAACUUUUGUAUUCUAUUCUCUUGCAGAUGGAGAGAACUCGCGCUAUCGGAUGUUGUAGACGACCACAUGUACCACCUACUGAGGCUACCAGAGGCCAUGGACGAGGUCGUGGUCGAGGAAGAGCCGCAGGGGAAGCAGCUGUUGACCCACCAGUUGCCCCAUCUCAGGUUCAGGCUCCGGCUGAAGAGACUCCAGCAGUGUGGUUUAGGCACCAACUGUGCCUUUUGUGAUUCUUUGUCUUCAGGAGGCCCUAACUCAAAUUCUAUCAGUUUGCACUGGCCUGGCUCAGGCAGUCUCAGCCACUACUUCAGUAGCUACUUCGCAGGCGGGGGGAGGCAAUCAGACCCCCGUUGAUCGCACACUUGAGUUUGUACUGCUGGGUUUGCAUACACCAGAGGCACCCCCGGCUCAACAGGUUUCACCAGUUUAGCCGGUUGCACCGAUUCAGGAUUUUGUUUUUCCAGUUAUACCAGAUGAUGAGCAGCGUCGUCUUGAGAGGUUCAGUAGUCUUUAGCCUCCUUCUUUCACUCGUGCACAGGGUGAGGAUGCCCAGGGUUUUCUUGACAUGUGUUAGUGUAUGCUUCAUAAAGAGGGGAUUCUUGAGUCCAUCGGUGUGGCUUUUACGACAUUUCAAUUUUCUGGAGCAGCUUUCACUUGGUGGGAGGCGUAUGAGUGGCGUAUGCCAGCAGAUGCAGCACCUUUGUCUUGGCAAGAGUUCUCUACUCUAUUCUUGGAGAAGUGGAUACCGCACUCUCAGAGGGAGGAACUACGUAGAUAGUUUGAGUGGAUUCUCCAAGGAGGUAUGACGGUUUCUUAGUAUGAGGCGAGAUUUUCGGAGUUGGCUCGCUAUGCUUUAUAGAUGCUCUUGACUGAUCCGGAGAGGGUUAAAUGGUUUGUUGACGAAACUGUUUAUCCCAUACGUAUUUUGAUGACUCGAGAGAGGACUGUGAGUCAUACCUUCGAGGAUGCAGUUGAUAUUGCUCGCGAUAUUGAGACGGCUCGCCGUCACGAGAGAGAGGAGAAGGAGGCCAAUAGGACUCGAGGCUCGGGUAGUUUUAGUGGUACUCCGUCUAGGGGCCAGUCCCAGCAGAGUAGGGGUCAUUCCCUCAGGACCGCUCAGUCAGCUCGACCUAUGUAUAGAGGUGGAUCUUUUAGUCGAGGUUAUCAUGGUUCUCAGCGGAGCCUGUCAUCUCUCAGCUCUCUUCCGGCACAGAGUUAGUCUCGUGCUCCAUCUGUUCAUGGUUCUUCCGGGCCGAGUUGAUCAGCCGAUCACUCUGGUGCGAUGGGUUCCCUUCAGUCCCAGUUCCCAGCACCUGGGAGUUGCUAUGAGUGUAGAGAGCUCAGACAUACGCGGAGGGACUGUCCUCGCCGUGUUGUUAUCUCAUCUCAGCACAGGGGUCAGUCUUCAUCUUUUAGCCGAUUUCUUCAGCACCCGCCCAGCCAGCUAGGGAUGAGGGACAGCAAGCCAAAGGCCUCCCCAGAGGGAGAGGCCGAUCGGGUAGAGGUCAUGCUCGCCUUUACGCUCUUUAGGGAAGGACAGAUGCUAUUGCCUUAGAUGUUGUUAUCAUAGGUGUUAUUUCAGUCUGCCAUAGGGAUGCCUCAAACUUAUUAGAUCCCGGAUUCACCUAUUCCUAUGUGUCUUCAUGUUUUGCUCAUUAUUUGGGGACGACCCGAGGGCAUCCUGCAUUUCCUGUUCAUGUAUCUGACCCGGUGGGUGGUACUAUUAGUGUAGACCAUAUAUAUUGGACCUGCUUGGUGACUAUUUGUGGUCUGGAGACCCGAGUUGAUUUAUUGCUAUUGAGCAUGGUGGACUUUGAUGGUAUUUUGGUCAUGGAUUGGCUAUCUCUGUGUCAUGCUAUUCUACACUGUCAUGCCAAGACUGUCAUUUUCACAAUGUCGGUUGUUCCGAGGAUCGAGUGGCGUGGUGUGUCUGAUUAUGUCCCAAGUAGGGUGAUUUCUUUCCUGAAACCCCAGCGUAUGGUUGGGAAUGGGUGCCUGUCAUAUUUAGCUUUUGUGCGGGAUGUCGGAGCCGAGGCUCCUAGUAUUGACUAUUUCCCAGUUCUGAGGGAAUUUCCCGAUUUUUUCCUGUAGACCUGGCGGGCACGCCUACGGAUAGGGAUAUUGAUUUUGGCAUCGAUCUAGUGCCGGGCACUCAACCCAUUUCCAUUCCGUCGUACCGUAUGGCGCCAGCAGAGCUGAAAGAGUUGAAGGAGCUGAUUUAGGAAAUCCUAGAUAAGGGGUUCAUCCUGCGUAGUGUGUCAACGUGGGGUGCACCUAUCAUAUUUGUGAAGAAGAAAGACGGCAUAAUGAGAAUGUGCAUUGAUUAUAUGCAGUUGAACAAAGUAACAAUGAAGAACAAGUAUCUUCUACCUCGUAUUGAUGAUUUAUUCUACCAGCUCAAGGGAGAGAGGGUGUUCUCCAAGAUUAUUCCAUUCGAGAUAUCACCAGUUGCAGAUCAAGGAAUCAUAUAUUAUGAAGACUGCCGUCAGGACUAGAUAUGGGCACUAUGAGUUUCUGGUCAUGUCAUUUGGGCUGACUAGUGCCGCCACAACAUUUAUGCAUUUGAUGAACAAUGUAAUUCGGCCAUAUUUGGAUUCAUUUGUUAUUGUAUUUAUUGAUGAUAUUCUGGUAUACUCGCGUAGCCAGGAGGAGCACCCACGACAUUUGCGGGUAGUGUUACAGAGAUUGAGGGAGGAGAAACUAUAUGUGAAAUUCUCCAAGUGUAAGUUUUGGCUUGGGUCAAUGGCUUUCUUGGGACACGUGGUGUAUAGUGAGGGUAUUCAGGUCCACUCGAAGAAGGUUGAGGCCGUAAAUAGUUGGCGUAGACCGACCUCGGCCACAUAGAUUCGUAGUUUCCUCGGUUUGGAUAGUUAUUAUCACCGGCUCAUUCAGGGUUUCUCAUCUAUUGCCUCGUCCUUGACCAAGUUGAGACAGAAGGGUGCUCCAUUUGUAUUCUCGGAGGAGUGCGAGGAGAGCUUUCAGAAGCUCAAGACAGCAUUGAUCAUAGCUCCAGUAUUGUCUUUGCCAUCAGCUUCAGGUUCUUACACCGUUUACUGUGAUGCUUUGAGAGUCCGUAUUGGCUGUGUAUUAAUGCAGGAGGUUAGGGUGAUUGCAUAUGCUUCUCGUCAAUUGAAGCCCCAUGAAUAGAACUACCAUGUUCAUGACUUAAAGUUGGCUGUUAUAGUUCAUGCUUUGAAGAUUUGGAGGAACUAUCUGUAUGGCGUAUCUUGUGAGGUAUUCACCUAUCAUCGCAGUCUUCAGCAUUUGUUCAAGCAAAACGAUUUGAAUUUGAUGCAGCAGAGGGCUUGAGUUGCUAAAAGAUUAUGGUAUUACAAUUUUGUUUCAUACGGGAAAGGCUAUUGUGGUGGCUGAUGCCUUGAGCCGAAAGGCAGUCAUUAUGGGAAGUUUGGCAUAUAUUCCAGUUAGGGAGAGGCCCUUCGCAGUUGAUGUUCGGGCUUUUGCCAAUCGAUUUGUGAGGUUAGACAUUUCCGAGCCCAGCCGGGUAUUAGCUUGCGUGGUUUCAUGUAUUAUUUAUAUGAUCGCAUCAGAGAGAGCUUUAGUAUGAUAAUGUGCAUUUGCUUGUCCUCAAGGACAGAGUUCAGCAUGGCGAUGAUCGAGAUGUGACCAUUGGUGAAGAUGGUGUAUUGAGGAUGCAAGGCCGGAUUUGUAUGCCCUGUGUGGAUGGGCUAAGAGAUUUGAUUCUUGAUGAGGCUCACAAUCUGUGGUAUUUCAUCCAUCCGGGUGCCGCGAAGAUGUAUCAGGACUUGAGAAAACACUACUGGUGGAGAAGAAUGAAGAAAUACAUUGUGGGAUUUAUGGCUCGAUAUCUCAACUGUCAGCAGGUGAUAUAUGAGCAUCAGAGACUAGGCGGUUUGCUUCAGCAGAUGGUUAUUCCUGAGUGGAAGUAGGAGAGAGUUAUUAUGGACUUUGUGAGUGGUCUUCCUUGGACUUUGAAGAAUUUUGAUUUGAUUUGGGUGGUCGAUUUGGGGUUCCAGUUUCUAUUAUCUCGGAUAGAGGUACUCAAUUCACUUCUCAGUUUUGAAGGGAAUUUCAGCAAGAGUUGGGUACACAAGUAGAGCUGAGCACAUCGUUUCAUCCUCAGAUUGAUGGGCAGUCCAAGAGUACCAUUGAGAUAUUGGAGGAUCUGUUGCGUGCAUGUGUGAUUGAGUUUGAAGGUUCUUGGGAUCGGAUAUCCCAGAUGCAUAGUUGAGUCUGUGCUGCUAUUCAGAUUAAUACUGGAGUCAUCGAGGUAGCUGCAUGGCAUCAGCGAAACCCGAUUUCUCCCUUUAUCCUCUCUACUUUUCCGCAUUUUAGACAAACUCUGUGUAUAUAUUGCUACUCCGACUUGUAUUAGAGGCUCGUAACUCCUGACACCAGAUCAGUGGGAUUUGUAUUUCUAUUGUAUGUUUUUUUGUACAGCUUUAUCUACUGUUUUAGUAUUUUAAUCGCGUUAAUUUAGCUUUAAUUCCUGUUAAUAGGAUAGAAUUUCUUCAUAAGGGGUUGAGAGUGAGAAAUUGGUCGGGCUUGCCUAGCACUGUGUUGGGUGCCUUCACGAUCAGGGAUUUGGGGUCGUGACACUUGGCUAGGCUACCCCCGCCUGGGCCAAUGACAAGCCCAAUAGAGGUUCUCCUUGAUUCUCUUUGUUUUAAGCACAUAGACAUAGCCUGGACGUGGAAAAUAGUUUACUUAAGAUUAACUGAUUACACAUGCAUCUACACACUCAAUUAUUAUUAAGCUAAUACAUGAACUCCUACUCAGAAAAUUAGAGUGAAGCGAGAGGAUAGGACCAAUUCCAAGAGUAUGCUAUUGCUUUUUUAGUAUAACUUACUAAUUACCUUACAUUCCUAUACAAUUGUCAUUGUCAAAUCCAGAAUAGGCCAUAGUAGCAAUCUGAUAUGCAAUCUUCCUUUGAACUGCAACUCUAAAAUGAUGUGACUUACUCAAACCAACAUAGGACUAUUCCAAAAUGUUCUUUCCGAUGCCCUCAGGCCUUCAAAGUAUUUAACUACCAAAAAUCUCAUCCCAAAUAACAAUUUAAUAUAAAAGGCUAAGAGGCUAGACUAUAGUUCACUGGUAGAGUAAUAAAUUGACAAAUAACACACAUUACAGAGUUAAUCGUUAACACAUGGACGUAAAAAAAGUUUAAAUUAAAUAUUGAUAUUCAACAGAGACUCGAACUCAAAUUAUGUAUCUCACGCUUAGAUUCUACCAAUUUAAUAUAAAGCCAUCACAACUAAAGUAAGGUAAACGAGUCAUCACCUAUUUAAUAGAACAUCAACAGGGAUAUGAGCUUCAAAUCAAAUUCAUGAGCAAGUAGAACUCACAUACAAUGUAAUACUACCAGAAUACCACAUACAGAGCAUACCUAGACAUUAGCCUAAACAGUUAUGUAAAGAAGCUAAAUUUCACAAAACAAACAUUGCAGAAUUUGAUCAUACACAAAGGAUAAAGGCUACAUACAUUAAAAACUAAAUUCUAACUUGUUGAAUGGGAUAAAAAUGGAACAAAAUGGAACUACUAUUCAAAAUCUGGAAUUCAACCCAAGUAUUCACAUGAUAUUCGAUAGUGAGGCAACAGAUGAUCCAAAUCUUCAAGUAUAUGAUUCAAUGGCCAAGAGCAUGUUCAAUAUACAUACUUGUAAAUCAAAUAAAGAAAUAAUAUUGAAGUAUCAAUGGCAGUAAAAUAGUAUCAGCAGCAAUGUCACAGUGUUAACCAUCUGAAACAAUCCCAAACUACAAACCAACUCCACGCAACUCAAAUCAAACUUCUAAACCCAAACUUAAUCCAUUUUUACACCCAAAUGCACAACAAUAAAAGUUUUCAGAAGUUCUAGGAUAACAGAAGAUUCAGAGAACCAAAACCAAGAAACAAAAACCAGUACAAACAAUUUUCAGCAUUUUCUCGGAAUUUUUAGAAGGAAAUUAAUUGCUUCUGAAGUUCGGUAUUUCUUCUUAUCUUUUUUGUCUCUCUAGGGUGUAAAAACUAUGUGUUGAGUGAAAAAAAUGCUUCAUUUAUAAGGCUGGGGGUAAGUUAUAUGUCUUUCAAUGCAAGGCAAUCAGAUUUUCCCAGAACACCCUCACAGGGCAUCAUUUAAAACUGAUUUUUGGACAUCUGUCCAUUUCCUUUAGAUUUUUCCAAUUUGUAACUUGUUUUUUCUAAAAAUUUGGGAAGUUGUCCAUUGAGGAAGCUUCCCAAUCAGUUAUUAAAAGAUACUCCAAGUUAAACAAAUCCCCAAAACUACCCUCUAAAUAUCCUAAUUUUUCACUUACCACCCCUAGGUUCUGAAUUCUCACAAUCGCAACAAACACUAAUAAAUGAAAUAUCACCUUCAGCUAGAUUAAAUACCAAUGAAAUUCAAACAAUUGUUGAAUAAUAUUAAAUCAUGAAGAAUCAAUAUGCUACAAAGCCCUACAAUGGAACUUUCAGAAAUACUAGAAAGUUGACGAUUCUAGAACAUGCUUGAAUGAACCAACAAACGCCACUACACCCUGAAUUAAACCUAAGAUCCUUCACACAUAAACAAUAACUCGGAAAAUGCUCUUGAAAUAGGAAUUAAUGCAGACAAUGAACUAUAUUUGGCUAAUCUCAAUGCUUCAAUUCCAGAAUUAAUUCACAAACAUAGACAUGAAACCUUCCGGUAAGAAGAAAAUGUUACUAAUUGAAACCAAGCUAAACUCAAACCCUUUGAAACUGGUUGUUAUUAACAAUUUAGCAACCCAGCUAACUAAUGGACUUAAAACUAGAGACGUAUUGCAAUAAAACAAGGAAACUGGAGAAGAAACAAACAAACGAAAGAAUGAAAAGAUCAAACGGAAACCAAUCGAGACAAAGAAAUUAUCUCAAACCUGCUUCAGUAAGAACCCGCAUGAACUCCAAUAAACCUUUUGAAGAAGAAAGUGAACCUUUGACGGUUAUUAGUGGAUUGUCCUUAACCAAAGACAAAACAUUAAUGACGAUUUGGGUUCACUCGACCUUGCUGACCCAGAAAAGAACCUAGCGCGAGACCUAGGGCCUUCCGGACCUUUGCUCCACUAUUGACGAGCUACUUCUAUGGGAAACAACAUGUUUAGAGCGGGAAAUAUGUAACGGGUCAUUUGAGGUGAACUUGGUUAGUUUUGGGGCUUUUAGGGAUUUUAGAUCUUGGAUUAAGUUUUGACAUUCGAGCACUUGUGGUGGGAUUCGAGGGAAACUGGCUAGAGAUUUGGGAAGAGGAAGGUGAGAGGGUUCUAGGGUGUUAAGAUGUGGGUGAUUGGAAUGGUCACUAGCGGCGGAGGCGGUUGGAAUUUGAGGGUGGCGUCAUUAGGGUUACUGGAAUGAGACAAUGAAAAUUAAGAAGAGGGGGUUCUAAGGGGGAUGUGGGUCUUUUUCGGACAAUUUUAUAUGUAUGAGGCUUUAGUUCCAGUCCAUUGGAUUCUAU
rnacentral:lncRNA from 1 species